ensembl:lncRNA
CUCAGAGUUGUCUUGAUCUCAGGCCCAGGGGCUAGGGCCACCCCAGCCAAGAGGGACCAGUUAAUGGAGAAAACUUAAUCUUGGUACUUCAGCAUGCUCCAAGCUCAUCAUGUAUUUCCUGCUUUGGCCCUACAAUCAGCACAUUCCUCCUGGGACCCCUGGUUCCUUGGAUUGGAGAAGAGUACCAGAAACCAAGUUCUGGGCAUGAGGCAUGCUUGGGUAGGAUAACAGCACAUACCAGAGCUGAGUCAGGAGCAUUCUCUGAAAGCUGCUGCCAAGCCCCUGCAUCCCUGGACUGAGCGAGCAGGUUGGCACUGCCAUCUGGAACCUCUCUUCUACCUAGCACAAAGAACUUGAUGGGGGUUCUGAGAAUGGAGAAAAGAAGGCUAGCUCCAAGAGCUGCAAGAGUUUUCCAGCAGCAGAAGAAACCAAAUGUGCCCAAGACUACCAGCUCUCCACCAAAGCUCAUUCCACACUCCUCCAAGAGUAUGGACUGGGUUACAAUUCCAAGUACAGAGAGAGAAGGUUGUCAUGUGACCAAAACCCAGCCAAAUGAAUGUGAGAAAAAAAUUGUAGGUAUCCUUUCAUUGCUCAGCGCGCCUCUUUGAACAUCUUCCUCCAAUCAGUGGCUGUCACUAAGAUGUACAUUCAAAUGAUGACAAUGACCUAUUUUUGAUGACUUUUUGGAGCACAGCUCAACUAUCCCUCCUGGACUGAUGCGUGGAAGAGAAAUAAACUUGUUUCAGUCUUUGCAUUUCUGAAUGCUAACAUUACUUUAUUAAGGUAUCAUUUAUAUAUAGCAAAGUAUAUACACCUUAAGUGUACAGUUUGGUGAAUUCGUGAAAAAGAUUACAUGAGCC